rnacentral:rRNA from 1 species
AUCGAACGCUGGCGGCAGGCCUAAUACAUGCAAGUCGAACGAGUGGCGGACGGGCGAGCAAGGCUUGGGCACGUAGCUUAUGGAGGGGGCUAACUACGGGAAACUGUAGCUAAUACCGCGUACCAUAGGAUGAGCCCAAGCGGGAUUAGGUAGUUGGUGUGGUAAAGGCUCACCAAGCCGACGAUCUCUAGCUGGCCUGAGAGGAUGACCGGCCACACUGGGACUGAGACACGGCCCAGACUCCUACGGGAGGCAGCAGUGGGGAAUAUUGGGCAAUGGGGGCAACCUGACGCAGCCAUGCCGCGUGAGUGAAGAAGGCCUUCGGGUUGUAAAGUUCUUUCGGUAGAGAGGCGUUAACUACAGAAGAAGCAACGGCUAACUCCGUGCCAGCAGCCGCGGUAAUAC